rnacentral:rRNA from 1 species
UAACACAUGCAAGUCGAGGGGCGAGCGGGGUGUAGCAAUACACUGCCGGCGACCGGCGCACGGGUGCGUAACGCGUAUGCAACCUGCCCGCGACAGGGGUAUAACGGAGGGAAACUUCCACUAAUCCCCCGUAACACCCGGUGCCGCAUGGCACUGGGUUGAAAGGAGCGAUCCGGUCGCGGAUGGGCAUGCGUGACAUUAGCUAGUUGGCGGGGCAACGGCCCACCAAGGCUGCGAUGUCUAGGGGAGCUGAGAGGCUAAUCCCCCACACUGGUACUGAGACACGGACCAGACUCCUACGGGAGGCAGCAGUGAGGAAUAUUGGUCAAUGGUCGGAAGACUGAACCAGCCAUGCCGCGUGGAGGAAAAGAAGGCCCUACGGGUCGUAAACUUCUUUUGCCGCAGAGUAAUAAGCGGGGUGCGCCCCGUGAUGAGAGUAUGCGGCGAAUAAGCAUCGGCUAACUCCGUGCCAGCAGCAGC